CAAAACCGGUUUUUGCAGAAAAUUAAUGUGUGGGCCCCACUUUUUAACGGUCACCAAAGUCGCGAAUUAAGGAUCGGUCUUGGGCCAGUUUUUGCACUGUUUGCGGGUUCCACCGACGCGUGGUGGUCCGUGAUUGGUUCAAUUCUUUUUUUAGGACAAAAAAAAAUUUAAAGACCCCAAAAAGAGUUUGACGGAUAAUGAUGGUCUAAAUGCCAUCGUAAAUUAUGCAUGACACGUUCCAAACACACAUUAAAUAUCUACGUUAAAUAAUAUUAGUAUGUUUGAACUCUCAAGAUAAAUUAUUUUCUUCUUUGAGUUAACUACCAAACUAGACCUUCCAGUUUUCCGUAAUGCUCUAUAACGAUUCGAUCGGUUCCACCAUGAGAGAAAUUACAUAAAUGGUUCGAAAUGUUAGUCUUAUGCGAAAUCUGCAAAAUGCUGAUCAAAUAUUAACCAUGUGUAACACAUUUUUGGAUGGUUUAGAAAGAACCAAACCCAUUCUUUCUUUCUUUUCGUCUGAAAGUUUUCAUUGAUAACAUAGAGAACAUAGAGCCAUACAUGGUGAAACACUAAAGCCGGCAGAACAUAUACCGAUCUCCGGAACCCAAACCCCAACGGUGGGAAACUAAAGCUCAACAAUAGGACACAAGCAUCUAAACAUCACAAAUAAACAAUAACUACAUCUUGCAGCUAGCUAAGAGAAUCCAAAAGAACAAGCUAAUAAGAGAUAAUAGAAAACAAACUUAAUUGACUAUGAUUAGCCGGUCUUCUCACUACGAACAUAGUAAGAGAGCAAGCACCGCAGAGAAUUUCAUGAAGAAUAGCAGCACCUUCAUCUGAACCACUCGUUCACGAUGACUACACACGAACCACUUUGCGAAACCAAAACAACACCCACAAAGAAGCAACACCCGAUACAAAUUAAACCUCCUACUCAACACACCCUUCAUCUGGACGCUUCAAAGCCUUAACCUCUUUAUACUGUUUCACCUAGAAGCCACCGAGGAUAAACCAAGACCAAAGACAGACCAGGAAAAUAAACUUAUUCAAGGGAUUAGAGAAGGACCCUUAGCAACUGGGAGCAGUGCCCUGAAACCAGCUUCUUCUCGACAACGAUACCAACCAACUGCUCAUCCUACACCACUGCGCCGCUGCGUCACCGUCACGGAAUCACAAGCCAACUAAUCAAUCCUCUACACUCCAAGCAAGGCUAAUCGGAUUCAAGCGCAAACAAGAGGACCAAUACAAGAACAUAACACAAAAGGACAUAAGGCUUAAACCCAUCAGAAUCCACCAUGACAAAUCAACGACGAACUCCAACCAGUAGGUUCAGAACCACCAGAACGGCGGUUCACGAACACUUCAACCCAGAACCUUUCGUUUGUUCAGAUCCAAAGCUCUAACCACACAAACUACAAAAGAAGAAGAAAACAUUCAGACUGGGCCGACGGUGACGCUAACAGAGCCGUCACGCGCCGGCCAUAAGAGAAGCGACUCCGGCGGCUGAAAGUUUAAAGGUCGAGAGGAUAUUAGGUCUUUUUUUAAAGAGCGCUCCCAACCAAACCCAUUCUUCCUUGCUAAUUAUAGAUUUUGAUUCUAACUAGUAACCA
rnacentral:lncRNA from 1 species